rnacentral:rRNA from 1 species
AACGAACGCUGGCGGCGUGCCUAACACAUGCAAGUCGUGCGAGAAAGUUCCUUCGGGAGCGAGUAAAGCGGCGCACGGGUGAGUAACACGUAGGUAACCUGCCCCCCAGUCUGGAACAACUAGAGGAAACUCUAGCUAAUGCCGGAUGAGACCACGAUCCCUUCGGGGGUUGCGGCCAAAGAUGGCCUCUACUUGUAAGCUAUCGCUGAGGGAUGGGCCUGCGGGCCAUUAGCUUGUUGGUGAGGUAACGGCUCACCAAGGCUGUGAUGGCUAGCUGGUCUGAGAGGAUGACCAGCCACACUGGGACUGAGACACGGCCCAGACUCCUACGGGAGGCAGCAGUGGGGAAUAUUGGACAAUGGGCGAAAGCCUGAUCCAGCAAUGCCGCGUGGGUGAUGAAGGCCU